CUGCUGCCUUCCGUAGGAGUCUGGACCGUGUCUCAGUUCCAGUGUGGCUGGUCAUCCUCUCAGACCAGCUAGGGAUCGUCGCCUAGGUGAGCCGUUACCCCACCUACUAGCUAAUCCCAUCUGGGCACAUCCGAUGGCAAGAGGCCCGAAGGUCCCCCUCUUUGGUCUUGCGACGUUAUGCGGUACUAGCUACCGUUUCCAGUAGUUAUCCCCCUCCAUCAGGCAGUUUCCCAGACAUUACUCACCCGUCCGCCA
rnacentral:rRNA from 1 species